UACGUAGGGGGCAAGCGUUGUCCGGAUUUAUUGGGCGUAAAGAGCGUGUAGGCGGCCAAGUAGGUCCGGUGUGAAAACUCGAGGCUUAACCUCGAGAUGUCAUCGGAAACCAUUUGGCUAGAGUCCGGAAGAGGAAAGUGGAAUUCCUGGUGUAGCGGUGAAAUGCGUAGAUAUCUGGAGGAACACCGGUGGCGAAAGCGGCGCGCUGGACCUUAACUGACGCUGAGGCGCGAAAGCCGGGGAGCGGAACGGG
rnacentral:rRNA from 1 species